UAGCUAGUUGGUAGGGUAAAGGCCUACCAAGGCGACGAUCGGUAGCUGGUCUGAGAGGAUGGCCAGCCACACUGGAACUGAGACACGGUCCAGACUCCUACGGGAGGCAGCAGUGGGGAAUAUUGGACAAUGGGGGCAACCCUGAUCCAGCAAUGCCGCGUGUGUGAAGAAGGCCUGAGGGUUGUAAAGCACUUUCAGUGGGGAGGAGGUUACUUAGGUUAAGAGCUAGAGUAAUGGACGUUACCCACAGAAGAAGCACCGGCUAACUCCGUGCCAGCAGCCGCGGUAAUACGGAGGGUGCGAGCGUUAAUCGGAAUUACUGGGCGUAAAGGGUGCGUAGGUGGUUUAUUAAGUUAGCUGUGAAAUUCCUGGGCUCAACCUGGGGUGGUCAGCUAAGACUGGUAGACUCGAGUAUGGGAGAGGGUAGUGGAAUUUCCGGUGUAGCGGUGAAAUGCGUAGAGAUCGGAAGGAACACCAGUGGCGAAGGCGGCUACCUGGCCUAAUACUGACACUGAGGCACGAAAGCGUGGGGAGCAAACAGGAUUAGAUACCCUGGUAGUCCACGCCGUAAACGAUGUCAACUAGCUGUUGGUUAUAUAAAAAUAAUUAGUGGCGC
rnacentral:rRNA from 1 species